rnacentral:rRNA from 1 species
CACAAGCGGUGGAGUAUGUGGUUAAUUCGAUGCAACGCGAGAACUUACCUGGUCUUGACAUCCCGGAGACCCUUAGGAAACUAGGGGGUGCUUCCAUCUGGAAGAAUCUGGAGACAGGUGCUGCAUGGCUGUCGUCAGCUCGUGUCGUGAGAUGUUGGGUUAAGUCCCGCAACGAGCGCAACCCUUGCCUUUAGUUGCCAGCAGUUCGGCUGGGCACUCUAAAGGGACUGCCGGUGUUAAACCGGAGGAAGGUGGGGAUGACGUCAAGUCCUCAUGGCCUUUAUGACCAGGGCUACACACGUACUACAAUGGCCGAUACAAAGGGCAGCGACACUGCGAGGUGAAGCCAAUCCCGUAAAAUCGGUCUCAGUCCGGAUUGGAGUCUGCAACUCGACUCCAUGAAGUUGGAAUCGCUAGUAAUCGUGGAUCAGCAUGCCACGGUGAAUACGUUCCCGGGCCUU